UAAUUCAGAUGACAACCUCUGCGAGCCAUUCCUAGAGCUGGAGCUCAGCCACAGGCAGUAUGUGUCCCGGCCAAGUAGUUUAGAGAGCAGUAGAAAUACAUCCAGCAACAGCUCACCUCUUAACCUAAAAGGUUCCUCCGACCAGCUCCAUGGCCGGUCUGAGAGCUUCAGCAGCGAAGACCUGAUCCCCAGCAGAGACCCAGCCACUCUGCCCCGGGAUGCCAGCACCCCAGGACGCAGCGCCCUUGGCCGUCAUGAGUACCCCCCACCUCG